rnacentral:misc_RNA from 1 species
GGUUUUCAAGUAUGAGCUCUGCUGCUUUUACUGGCUUUGUGUAGAUUUGCAAGGAACCAUUGGACAGCAGGACCUUUACAACUCCAUUGGAGAUGAUUGAAGGAGCACAAGAAGCUGCAUUACCCAUGAAUGUUGAGAGAAAGAGAGAGAGAUAUGGUUGAUGGAGUUUGUGGCAAUCAUGGAUUAUUUUUAAGUUGGAGAUGAGAUGGUAGUU